rnacentral:rRNA from 1 species
ACCUACGGGGGGCAGCAGUAGGGAAUCUUCCACAAUGGGCGAAAGCCUGAUGGGGCAACGCCGCGUGGGUGAAGAAGGUCUUCGGGUCGUAAAACCCUGUUGUUAGAGAAGAAAGUGCGUGAGAGUAACUGUUCACGUUUCGACGGUAUCUAACCAGAAAGCCACGGCUAACUACGUGCCAGCAGCCGCGGUAAUACGUAGGUGGCAAGCGUUAUCCGGAUUUAUUGGGCGUAAAGGGAACGCAGGCGGUCUUUUAAGUCUGAUGUGAAAGCCUUCGGCUUACCCGGAGUAGUGCAUUGGAAACU